rnacentral:rRNA from 1 species
GUCUAUGGCCAUGCUACCCUGAACAAGCCCAAUGCUGGCUGAUCUCAGAAGCUAAGCAGGGUCAGGCCUGCUAGUACUUGGAUGGGAGACCACCUAGGAAGACCAGGUGCUGUAGGCA